rnacentral:rRNA from 1 species
UACGGCGGGUGCGAGCGUUGUCCGGAAUCACUGGGCGUAAAGGGCGCGUAGGUGGCGCGAGGAGUCUGUGGUGAAAGCCCGAGGCUCAACUUCGGGUCGGCCGCGGAUACUCUCGUGCUGGAGGGUGGUAGAGGCCAAUGGAAUUCCGGGUGUAGCGGUGGAAUGCGUAGAGAUCCGGAAGAACACCGGUGGCGAAGGCGGUUGGCUGGGCCACACCUGACACUGAGGCGCGACAGCGUGGGGAGCAAACAGG